ACUGUUGGUUAUGUGUGCCCAAGCAUUGAGGCAGUCAAAGUAGGCAAAUCCGCUUUGAUAAUGCUGGGAUGUGAUGGGGAGCGAAAUUUAGUAGCGAAGUAGCUGAUUUCACACUGUCAAGAAAAGUCUCUAUCGAGGUUAAAGGUACCCGUACCGCAAACCGACACAGGUGGGUGAGGAGAGUAUCCUAAGGCCAGCGAGAGAACUGUUGUUAAGGAACUCGGCAAAAUGACCCCGUAACUUAGGGAUAAGGGGUGCCACCAUCAGGUGGCCGCAGAGAAUAGGCCCAAGCGACUGUUUACCAAAAACAUAGGUUUCUGCUAAGUCGCAAGACGAUGUAUAGGAGCUGACGCCUGCCCGGUGCUGGAAGGUUAAGGGGAUCUGUUAGAGCAAUCGAAGCAGUGAACUUAAGCCCCAGUAAACGGCGGCCGUAACUAUAACGGUCCUAAGGUAGCGAAAUUCCUUGUCGGGUAAGUUCCGACCCGCACGAAAGGCGUAACGAUUUGGGCACUGUCUCAACAACAGACUCGGUGAAAUUGUAAUUCCGGUGAAGAUGCCGGAUACCUGCGACAGGACGGAAAGACCCCAUGGAGCUUUACUGUAGCUUGACAUUGGGUCUUGGUACUACAUGUACAGGAUAGGUGGGAGGCUUUGAAACCAGGACGCCAGUUUUGGCGGAGCCAUCCUUGGGAUACCACCCUUGUAGUACUGGGACUCUAACCAUAGGCCAUGAAUCUGGUCUUGGGACACUGUCAGGUGGGCAGUUUGACUGGGGCGGUCGCCUCCCAAAAGGUAACGGAGGCGCUCAAAGGUUCUCUCAGUACGGUCGGAAAUCGUACGUAGAGUGUAAAGGCAAAAGAGAGCUUGAUUGCAAGACAUACAGGUCGAGCAAGGAUGAAAAUCGGACUUAGUGAUCCGGUGGUUCUGCGUGGAAGGGCCAUCGCUCAACGGAUAAAAGCUACCCUGGGGAUAACAGGCUUAUCUCCCCCAAGAGUCCACAUCGACGGGGAGGUUUGGCACCUCGAUGUCGGCUCAUCACAUCCUGGGGCUGUAGUAGGUCCCAAGGGUUGGGCUGUUCGCCCAUUAAAGUGGUACGCGAGCUGGGUUCAGAACGUCGUGAGACAGUUCGGUCCCUAUCCGUCGCAGGCGUAGGAAAUUUGAGAAGACCUGUCCUUAGUACGAGAGGACCGGGAUGGACG
rnacentral:rRNA from 1 species